ACUCCUACGGGAGGCAGCAGUGGGGAAUAUUGCACAAUGGGGAAAGGACCCUGAUGCAGCCAUGCCGCGUGUGUGAAGAAGGCCUUCGGGUUGUAAAGCACUUUCAGUAGGGAGGAAGGUAGUGUAGUUACACCUGCAUUAUUGCGUUACCUACAGAAGAAGCACCGGCUAACUCCGUGCCGCAGCCGCGGUAAUACGGAGGGUGCGAGCGUUAAUCGGAAUUACUGGGCGUAAAGCGCAUGCAGGCGGCCUGUUAAGUCAGAUGUGAAAGCCCGGGGCUUAACCUCGGAAUUGCAUUUGAAACUGGCAGGCUAGAGUCUUGUAGAGGGGGUA
rnacentral:rRNA from 1 species